rnacentral:rRNA from 1 species
GACGAACGCUGGCGGCGUGCUUAACACAUGCAAGUCGAACGGAAAGGCCCUGCUUUUGUGGGGUGCUCGAGUGGCGAACGGGUGAGUAACACGUGAGUAACCUGCACCUGACAUUGGGAUAACUUCUGGAGACUGGGGCUAAAACCGGAUAGGAGAUCCUGCUGCAUGGUGUGGGUUGGUAAGUUUCGGCGGUUGGGGAUGGACUCGCGGCUUAUCAGCUUGUUGGUGUGGUAGGGGCUUACCAAGGGUUUGACGGGUAGCCGGCCUGAGAGGGGUGCCGGCCACAUUGGGACUGAGAUACGGACCAGACUCCUACGGGAGGCAGCAGUGGGGAGUAUUGCACAAUGGGCGGAAGCCUGAGGCGGCGACGCCGCGUGCGUGAUGACGGCCUUCGGGUGGUAAACCGCUUUCGCCUGUGACGAAGCGGGAGUGACGGUAAUGGGUAAGGAAGCACCGGCUAACUACGUG